rnacentral:lncRNA from 1 species
CUUUCGUGUGCCGGAGCCGAUCGGCUUCAAACCGGCAUGAGAGGUGCCUUUGGAAAGCCACAGGGUGUUUGUGCUAGAGUGGCUAUUGGCCAGGUCCUGCUCUCUGUCCGCUGCAAGGACAGCAACAGCCAUCAUGCGCAAGAGGCCCUCCGCCGGGCUAAAUUCAAGUUCCCCGGCCGCCAAAAGAUCAUUGUUAGCAGGAAGUGGUAUGUAUCUGGAGAGAUGGCUGCUAACUUAUUCACAGUUUUUGAAUUUGAAUUGUGAAAAGUAUUGUUUUCAGAAUCUUCCGAUUCACAAUUGCAUCAAAUUUGGCUACCUUCUAAUUCGUAUCAUAAUAUGAAUCUUAAAUGAAUUUAUAUUGUGCAGUACAUGAAUGAAUCUGUGUUUUGAAUACAAUUCACGUGAUUCAUAUAUUUCUUUUAAAUUGCCAUGAUAACAAAAUUGAGGCACAUGAGCUUAAAUUUUUGUAAUGAAAAGGGAUUGAAAGAACACUGGUGAAUGUAUCCUGUUUGAUUAUUCCACUACUUUAUUUGUUACUCAUUCAUUUAAUGCAUUUUCUCUAUUUGUCUAUUUAAUCACAUUGUUUUAACUCUCUUAAGAUAGUGGUUUUACUAAUUCAGACAUAACUAAUAGUUUUGUAUGACUUCUGCUUAAAUUGUGUUUUUGUCUAUUUCUAGUUUACAUUGAACAUUAUAUAUAAUCUGUAUGGAUACAUCUUAAGUAAAUUUUUUAUUGAUAUCAACAAUUCACAAUUUGAGUCUCAAUUUGGUAACCUUGUUGUAAGUAGUUUACAUAUAUAUUAUAGAUAGAUUUGCACUGUUUCUUUUGUGUAUGGCUUUAACUCUUGGUUUUAAAUUCUUGCUUAGGGGGUUCACCAAGUUUAACCGCACUGACUAUUUGAAGUUGAAGUCAGAGAACAGGAUUAUGCCUGAUGGUGUUAAUGCCAAGGUAAUGUGAAGUUGCUUGAUAAUGCAAUAUGAUGUGAUUGACACUGUAUAGGAAGUAGAUUUUAUCAUGCUGAGAAUGUUUUUACUUGUUCACUUGUAUCUUAGGGAAUGCAUUGAAUUAUGUUUCUGAAUGAAAUUUUCUUUGUGUCUUAAAUUAGUUUUUAUUAGUGCUUGUAAUUGUCCUUCUGAAUCACAUGUUCUGUUUUGUGAUUUUGCAGCUUCUUGGGUGCCAUGGACCACUGGCUAAUCGCCAACCAGGAAGGGCCUUUUUGUCCAGUGCUACUACCUAGACUGUUUGUUACUCAGAAAUAUUAGUCUUUGAGAAUCAUGUUUGUUUUGCAAUGGUGAACUUUGUUUGUGUUUGUGUUUUCUGCACAUUCAACUUGAGUUAAUUUUUGUUUUGC